CUAAGGAAGACAAUCUGAGUGAAGAAGUCCACAAGAAAUUUGAAGAGCUGACGGUGGAAAAUAACAUUCCAAAGGAAAACAUAAGACAUGUUAUUGAAACAGAUAACUGUCCUGAUGUCUAAGGACCUUGCUUGAUGAGCAGACACUUGAGAUCCUAAUGAGAUCAGGAAUGUUUCAACAUCACCUUCUCAAGGGCUCAGGAAUCAUCUUUAUUAAGAUAAAAUGUCUCCUUUUAUUAAAAUUGUAAUUUCUUCUUUUUUGGGAAAGUGUAAACCUGUCUUAGGGAUUUCUUGUCAGUUCUCUUCUAUAUCUUUCCUGCUAUUCCUUAUUCCUAACUGAUUAGUAAAAUUGACCUUAUAUGCA